GAUAUACUGGAGAUGGAUUUACAUGCACUGAUGUGGAUGAAUGCGCGCAUUCUCCUUGUGGUUCACAUUCAAGUUGCAAAAAUACUGAUGGUUCAUACUAUUGUUCAUGUCACACUGGAUAUGAAAAGGCCGGCCGGGAGAAUUGUACAGAUAAGAACGAAUGUGCAGGGAGCCCGUGCAGUGUGGAUGCUAACUGCACAAAUACGGAUGGUUCAUACUUUUGU